rnacentral:tRNA from 1 species
AGAGUUAUAAUUUAUAAAAAAUAUUUAGCUUGCAACUAAAAAAACGAAAGUUUACUCUA